CCUACGGGUGGCAGCAGUGGGGAAUAUUGGACAAUGGGCGAAAGCCUGAUGCAGCAACGCCGCGUGAAGGAAGAAGGGUUUCGGCUUGUAAACUUCUUUUAACAGGGACGAAAGACAUGACGGUACCUGAAUACUAAGCCCCGGCUAACUACGUGCCAGCAGCCGCGGUACUACGUAGGGGGCAAGCGUUAUCCGGAUUUACUGGGUGUAAAGGGUGCGUAGGCGGCAAUGUAAGUCAGAUGUGAAAGCCAUGGGCUUAACCCGUGGCUUGCAUUUGGAACUGUCGAGCUUGAGUACAGGAGAGGAAGACGGAAUUCCUAGUGUAGCGGUGAAAUGCGUAGAUAUUAGGAGGAACACCAGUGGCGAAGGCGGCUUGCUGGACAGAAACUGACGCUGAGGCGCGAAAGCGUGGGGAGCAAACAGGAUUAGAUACCCUAGUAGUC
rnacentral:rRNA from 1 species